rnacentral:lncRNA from 1 species
GAUCAAGCCUACAGCAACCUAGACUUAUCCAAGUGACUUUAGCAUAAGUGCCUAGUUUUGCCUGUUAACAAGUAGUUCGCGCUUUGAAAAUGCUCAUACAAAUAGCACAGACCUGCUCAACCAGGACCAGAAUGCUUACAAAGAGCACAAACUUGCUCAACCAGGACCAGAUUUUUCAAAGAUUAUAAACUCUUCCCAACACAACAUUAGAUACAGUCAAAGAGAACUACAAUAUGUAGGCUGCAAUAUUUUAAACUUUUCCCUUUCUUCAUUAGUCCUACCAUACCCUCUAGUAGAAAUUUCAAAACAGCAACUCUCCAUUCAUUUCUGUGCAAAAUAAAUAAAUGUAACCAAACAUCACAGGUAGUGAAUAAACCACUAGGCACAGAUUUCAAUAUAGAUUUCAACUCAGUUCUCCGAAAACACUAAUAAAAUCCCCAGCAUUAGAUACAAAAAUAAGCAACCUUAUAUUUCUACUAAACUAAA